CGAAGCGAAAGCGAGUCUGAACAGGGCGAUUAAGUAUGUGUGCGUAGACCCGAAACCAGGUGAUCUACCCAUGUCCAGGUUGAAGUCCAGGUAACACUGGAUGGAGGACCGAACCGACUCACGUUGAAAAGUGACCGGAUGAGGUGUGGGUAGCGGAGAAAUUCCAAACGAACUUGGAGAUAGCUGGUUCUCUCCGAAAUAGCUUUAGGGCUAGCCUCAGAGUAAGAGUCAUGGAGGUAGAGCACUGUUUGGACUAGGGGCCCAUCUCGGGUUACCGAAUUCAGAUAAACUCCGAA
rnacentral:rRNA from 1 species